AGGCUACGACCCCGUUCUCCUGUAAUGCGGUAGAACCUUCCCAAGGAUGCCGGAAUGCACGGACGGUGUUAGUGGAAGGACAGGAAGUUCCGGGCAGACGCGCACCAUUCUUCAUUAUAAAGAAAGCGCCAGAACGGUGCAGUCAAGAAGAUAACCUUCGUGUCCGUUUCUAUUCAUUACUACAGGCCAACUCAGAUUAAGUCUGAGGGCGGAAACAUCAACAGUGAGGACAAACCCAGCCUGCCUCUCUCCUUCCACACGGAGUCCAAGCAUACAGUCACUGGGUCCUGAUUGUGACCGCGAGGCCCAGUUUGCACCGCAGGAUCCAGAGAUGGCAUCAGUGAAGCUGGAAGACUGCAGUCAAACACUGGAGCUGAAUGUCAACAUUAAAGAUGAAGAAGAGGAGGAGAAGAUUGGGAAAUCUGUUUCUCAUGGUAAGAGCAGGUUUUAUCUCACUAAGUUUGUGCUAUUCAUUCCAAAUUCCCACUGUGUAUGAAAGUUGCAGUAGAACUGUUUCAUGAUGAACUGUUUCAAUGAGAAGGUAGAUGUUAUUUCAUGCUACUGACACUUGCAUGGUUUGACACCAGUAUUGCCAGAAUUCGUUUUACUCACUGGGCUAUCUGGAGUGAUCACUAAGUAAUUGAAGUAGUGUUUUAAAGUUAUAUGAAAUGAGCCUGUGGAGUUACUAACCCUUGUGAUAGUGAGUGGUAGGAUGACACUCCCCAUCUUACCCACUUUUAGAAAAUAUUUAUUCCCCUUUUGUAUUGCACAGCCUUCUGAUAUGAAUACACACAGUGCAUUCGGAAAGUAUUCAGACCCCUUGGCUUUUUCCACAUUUUGUUACGUUACAGCCUUAUUCUAAAAUUGAUUAAAUAAAAAAAUAUUAAUCAAUGUUCCUCACAAAGGAAACAGUUUUUUUAGAAAUGUUUGUACAUGUAUUAAAAAUUCAAAACAGAAAUACCUUUAUUUA